GAAGAUGCAGUGUACCCGCGGCAAGACGGAAAGACCCCGUGAACCUUUACUAUAGCUUGACACUGAACAUUGAGCCUUGAUGUGUAGGAUAGGUGGGAGGCUUUGAAGUGUGGACGCCAGUCUGCAUGGAGCCGACCUUGAAAUACCACCCUUUAAUGUUUGAUGUUCUAACGUUGACCCGUAAUCCGGGUUGCGGACAGUGUCUGGUGGGUAGUUUGACUGGGGCGGUCUCCUCCUAAAGAGUAACGGAGGAGCACGAAGGUUGGCUAAUCCUGGUCGGACAUCAGGAGGUUAGUGCAAUGGCAUAAGCCAGCUUGACUGCGAGCGUGACGGCGCGAGCAGGUGCGAAAGCAGGUCAUAGUGAUCCGGUGGUUCUGAAUGGAAGGGCCAUCGCUCAACGGAUAAAAGGUACUCCGGGGAUAACAGGCUGAUACCGCCCAAGAGUUCAUAUCGACGGCGGUGUUUGGCACCUCGAUGUCGGCUCAUCACAUCCUGGGGCUGAAGUAGGUCCCAAGGGUAUGGCUGUUCGCCAUUUAAAGUGGUACGCGAGCUGGGUUUAGAACGUCGUGAGACAGUUCGGUCCCUAUCUGCCGUGGGCGCUGGAGAACUGAGGGGGGCUGCUCCUAGUACGAGAGGACCGGAGUGGACGCAUCACUGGUGUUCGGGUUGUCAUGCCAAUGGCACUGCCCGGUAGCUAAAUGCGGAAGAGAUAAGUGCUGAAAGCAUCUAAGCACGAAACUUGCCCCGAGAUGAGUUCUCCCUGACUCCUUGAGAGUCCUGAAGGAACGUUGAAGACGACGACGUUGAUAGGCCGGGUGUGUAAGCGCAGCGAUGCGUUGAGCUAACCGGUACUAAUGAACCGUGAGGCUUAACCUUACAACGCCGAAG
rnacentral:rRNA from 1 species